rnacentral:rRNA from 1 species
GACGAACGCUGGCGGUAUGCCUAACACAUGCAAGUCGAACGAGAUCAUAUUUUUGUUUACGUUCGCGUAGCAAUGAAUAUGAUUGCAGUGGCGGACGGGUGAGGAACACGUAAGAACUUACCUUUUGGCGGGGGAUAACAACGGGAAACUGUUGCUAAUACCCCAUAACGCUGAGGAGCGAAAGGGAAACUACCAAAAGAGAGGCUUGCGUCUGAUUAGCUAGUUGGAGGAGGUAAAUGCUCCCCAAGGCGACGAUCAGUAGCUGGUCUGAGAGGAUGAUCAGCCACACUGGGACUGAGACACGGCCCAGACUCCUACGGGAGGCAGCAGUGGGGAAUUUUCCACAAUGGGCGAAAGCCUGAUGGAGCAAUACCGCGUGAGGGAUGAAGGAUCGUGGUUUGUAAACCUCUUUUCUUGACGAAGAAGUUCUGACGGUAUC